rnacentral:misc_RNA from 1 species
GAUGAAGUACGCAGCGAAAUGCGAUAAGUAAUGUGAAUUGCAGAAUUCAGUGAAUCAUCGAAUCUUUGAACGCAUCUUGCGCUCCUUGGUAUUCUGAGGAGCAUGCCUGUUUGAGUGUCAUUAAAUUCUCAACUACACUGACUUUGAAUUGGUGUGGCUUGGAUUUGGGGGGAAAAUUGUUGUGGGCUUUUUGUAUAGUCUGCUCCCCUGAAAUUGAUUAGCGGUACCUUUGUGGAACUGUCUACAGGUGUGAUAAUUAUCUACAUCUUAGACAUCUGCUGGAAUGCUGCUUUCUAAACCUUACUUGUAUUGACAAUCUUGACCUCAAAUCAGGUAGGACUACCCGCUGAACUUAAGCAUAUCAAUAAGCGGAGGA